UUGACGGCGCCGAAUGCAGAAGUCUUCUCUUUACCCACAGAAAAGGUGCAGCAUGGGCAGUGACAGCGCAGGCUUCCUCAUUGCUGCCACGUGCAUCUGCCCUGACCCAGAGAUAGCAUAUGGAGUCUGUUCUCUCUGUGGCCAUCAUGGGCUUGUCUGCA
rnacentral:sRNA from 1 species